rnacentral:pre_miRNA from 1 species
AAAUAUGGGCCUGAUUCAAAGCCCACUGAAGGCAAUGGAAAGACUUCCAUUAACUUCACUGGGUUUUGGAUUAUGCCCCCACGUU